UCAUCCGUUAAUACCCCUUCUGUCCUCCCUUAGUCCUUGUUGGCUCGGUAAAUAUUGUUUAAUAAAGCCUCCGGAAGUUCCAGCUGGUCUCCACCAGGCCAGGGGGCCCAGCAGAGAAGGUGCUGGCUUCCACUGGAACCUCCACCUUACAGCAGAGGUUUUGCUGGGGUCCAUGGGGGACCCGGGGCCGGAAGUAGAACAACAAACCCCAGUAGAAGGAGAAGCUGUAGGCCACGGGGAGCACCAGCCCUUCUGUACCCCCGAUUCCCUGUCCCAGCCACAGCUGAAGAGCCGCUGUGCUUUGCUUUACAGGGAGAGCUCUCCAGGACUGAGGCCUGGGUGCAUCUGGCCUUCUGCCCCCUCCCCUAGGUCGCCUCUGCAUCUCUGGAUUCACCAAGCCAUCUCUCCCUCAGACUGAAGCUCCCUGAGGGCAGGACUGGCUGGUUGGGCUGGGCGGGCCUCCCUGGGCACGGUCCAUGACCUCCCCUGAACACAGCACCUGGCACACCAAGGUCCCUGCUGUGCCUCCCUGGAUGCUCAGCCUGCAUCCUUCUAGUGGGCAGGGAGGUGGCACCUGUCCGCUUGGUUACGGACAGGGACAGACUGGCUCUGUCAGUGUGGGUUAUGGCCACGUAGUGCCCCCCUUCCGCCUGGUCUCCUGGGCACCCUGGGGAAGGAAGGUGGAGAGGACUGACCUCUCUUCCUCUUCCUGUCUGGGGCCUGCUGUGUAGAACAGAAGCUGAUGGGAGGGAUGCCGGAAGCCGAGUCGCCUAGAGUCAAAUCCUGUUUUCCUUGUUACUGCCUUUGUUUAUUGAGACAGGGUCUUGCUGUGUAGCGCAGACUGUCCUCAAAAUUGCAAUGCUCCGGCCUCAGCCUCCUGAAUGCUGGGAUUAGGGCGAGUGCCACCAUGCUGGCUAGGCUUCAAGUCCUUGCCCUUGCACUUUCUCAUUCCAGGUGUGUCCAGCCCGUGGCUCGUGGCUUUCCCCAGCUGGCACAGAGCUUGGGGUGACCGGCACCUUUGUGUCUCCAGUUCCUCAUGUGUACAGUGGGGAUUCUGUGUCCCUAAGGCCCGCUGUGAGCAGCCGCUGUGUUGACCGAGAGGCAACGCUCGAGAGAUGACAGCCCUGCACGCCUGCCCCCAGCCUGGCUGGCCCUUGGUGGAGGAGCGAGGUGAAUGCCCGGUUCCCCCGUCCCUGCUGCAGGAAGAAACUGGGAAGGUCAGCGUGGGUCUCCUCUGUGCACGGUGACUCCCCUGGUUGCCUCGGCUGUGGAUAAAGGGCAGGCAGCUCUUUGUCCUGCCACAGAUCCCUGCCUCUUUACCUCAGAAGCUCCGUCAGGCGCAUGGCUGGCUUCAUCUGCCCUCUACCUACAAUGUGCACCCAGAUCUGAGAAUGGGGUACCCCGAGGGUCUUUAUUCAGGGGCGCCCAGAAGGUACUGUCCAGGCUUCAGGUGCCUUCCUGUCCCCCUCCCCACCAUGCCCUGGUCCAAGCCAGCCUUUCCUUCCUUGCCUUCACCUUCUUCACCCCCGGCUCAGUCUCUCACCAGCCUGCAGGGCUGGGGUUCCCUUGCCAGGACCCGAGGGUGGGCGUGACUCUGUCCUGUGUCCAUUCUAUGAUGUGGCGAGUUCCCCACAGACAGGCCUAGGGUGGCUCGUCCCCGCAACAGAGGACACACAUGUGGCUGGGUGUCCACAGCCCUCGGCCCGUGAGCCCUGACUCAGAUGAACUCUGAACUCUGGCAGCGUGGAAGCUCCCCACAGCCUCGGGGAAGUGUGUGAGAACCGUCCUGGCUCCCGGCUCGGGGAACCCUGAGUAGGGGGUGGGUGGUAGUCCCCGAGAGCCCCGUGCCCAUCCUGGCUGUGCACAACCGGGCUGGGCACUGCCAUCUGCCAUGGCCCGCAGAGCUGGAGCAGGAGCACGCUGGGGGCAGGUUCUGUGUGGCAUUUUAUUUUCAGGCGAGAGGAUCAGGCUCAAGAUGUCACUCCAGUGAGUGAGACCUGAGACAGGGAGAGGAAUGUCUAGGAAAGCAGGAGAGACAUGAGUGGAAGCUUCCACGCGCCAGGAGGAGGGAGGAACAGCAGGCAAAAAAGGAAGGAAGCGGAGAUGCGAAGGGAGGAAGCCUGCGGGGAGGCGUCUGACGCAGCAGAUCUCCGUCCCUCCCGGCCAGGCGGCACAGGCAGAAAAGCGGGGUGACCUGCCACACCCUGUGGCUGAGGACAUCUAGGAACUCACUCCCAGUCUCAUGCUGUCCCCAUCCCCGGAGCUCCAGGCACAUAAUCCAGUCAUCUCUGUGGUGUCUCUCUCUGGAGUUUCCAACUCACAAUCAACAAAUAAAAUGAAGCCCAUGGUCUAAUUGCCCCAAGCCUGCUUGCCUCCACGGUCUCAGUUCUGGUGAAUUCAUCUGAGCCUGUAAGGCAGAAACCUCCCGUCCUGCCUCUGUCCAACCCAUCAACAAGUCUGUCCCGUUGGACCCCUAAGCGCCCCUUAGAUGCAUUUACUCCCUCGGCCUGCCCCUUCCAGCUCCCACACAGCAGUGGGAGCAGCAGUGGCCCACGCCCUCCUGCUGCGCUCCUCCGUGGCUUUCCUGCGCUCUCAGUAUAAGCACGAAGUCCUAGAAAGGACCUGACCUCCUACUGCCUGCAUCCCAGCCUCGAAGCCCCGGGGACACCCCAGUUUCCUCUGUCUUCAGGGCUGUUUGCGUGCCACUGUGGGACUUUAGCAAGCUAGCAGCUCCCCACUUCCUGCUCCCAAAGCUGCUUUCUUCACGAUGCCCUGGCUGCCUCCUUCCGGGCACCCACGGGGGCUGGCCGGGCUACUUUUACAGGGUUGUUGUAAACGUUCCCCAUCGACUCCGAGCGCAGCCUGGUUUACUCCCCACUGUGUUCCUGAAGACUAGAGCAGCCCUUGCACGCUGCGCGUUGAGCAUUGGUGAACUAGGAAGACACAGAAAGGCUUCAGAAUUCAUUCUUACGGGCCCGAGGCAAGGCAGGCGAUUCUUCACCUUUGGUGCAGUGAGGGAGCCUGGUCGCCCUUUGCUAUGCCCAGCGCCCUCCUCUGCCAGAUGGGGUGCAGCUCAAGGCAGAGUGUUUGCCUGGCAUGCAUCCAGCCCUGGGCCCACUCCCCAGUACAGCGAACUCCCAAAACAACCUAGAAAUCCAAUAAACAAGAGAAAGGGGAUUUUCUUUCUUCUCUAGAAGCACAUUCAGAGGUAAUGGGGCAGAACCCUGUGCCCUGGCAGGACGGUGGGUCAUGGUGCAUGGCGUCUCUGUAAGGCCGGCUUUCAUUAGGGUUCUCAUGAAGAUGCACUUCCAACACGGGUAACAGGAGUAAAAAUGAGUUAAUUCACCCAGAGAGAUUAAAAUGUGUAAUAUGGCUACUGGUUCCUGUGCCAUUGUCACUGUAUCUACAGAAGAGUAAAAGGCAGGACGCCACUGUGCCGUCAGCUACGUGGUGCAGUUGAAAGCACAAUGGGACAGCAGGAAGCAGUGAGCACCGGAGGAGGAAUGAACCCUAACCUGCUCCACACAGGGGCUCCGGCCAACUGCUCAGGUCUCAGGAGUUUUGGGGGGUGGGUUGUUAGCCAGCCAUUAUCAAAAAUGUACUGAUUACAUGGUAUUGCCAUGUAAUUAGUAGAGAUAGUUCUUCCUUAUGUAGGUUAGGGUUAGGGUAGGUUUCCUGUGCCUGUGUCUCAGAGGUUAUUCGUGGUCCAGUGCACAAGUGGCCAAGCAUUGGGUAACAGCGCCCCAAGUGCCACUCCAGGUGAGCUCGCCAUGGGGUCUGGAGGCGGCAUGGCGGGCACACUGACACCACGGGAACUGGCAGAGGCUCCUGCCCGGAGCUGCCACACUGGAGGCCAAUGCUUUGCCUGUCGUAGCUCCUCACCAAACCCAGCUCCUGGCCUCUGAAAACAUCAGACGCGUGACACAACGCUCACGUGGCAGAGGGACAGAGGGAAGAAGUACAGAGCGCAUCUUCAGGAAAGCCAUCCUCAGAGUGGCAGGUGGCUUGAGGGUGAAUGCCAGUAACGAUUGUUCUAUGCACGUCACAUCAGUCACCAGUGUGGCUGAUGCAGUGUAGUUUAUUCAAUAACUUGGACCUCACACUUUCAGACAAAAGCAAGGGUACUGAACAACCAGCCUGACACAGCCUUCAAAGUCAAAACGUGAAGGUUCUAUUUACGUCUUGUCUGUCUUGGCUUCUGCCUCCACCAUUUGACUGGAAAUUCUUUAAGGUAACAGCUGAUCCUUCACUGCUAAGUUUAAUAGCUUUUACCAAGGCCCCAGUUCUGUGGCCUCUCUGGCUUUUCUGCCUUCUCUGUAGCACUGAGGCUUAUGUUUGUUGUUCUUGAGACACAGACUUGAGGAACUGCCCUGGCUGGCCUCAAACUCUUGAUCUUCCUGCCUCAGCCUCCUGAGUGCUGGGGUUACAGUGUGUGCCACCAUACUGCGUAGGACUAAGCAGAGCAGUCACCCUGUCCUAGACCUAACCUUGCACCAUGUCAGGGUCCCUUAGAUGAUGCACGAUUGUCCACUCAGUCUGUGCUUUGAGUUUUAACCUCGGUGACACCGACAUGAGAUGAACUGUGUGGGACGCCAUGCCUCCUUUGGUUGUGCGGAGCUCGUCUCUGAGGGUCUUGAGCAGCUCUCCCACUUCCCAUGUCAGGAGGAGCAGAUGUGACCCCCACUUUGCCCAAGCGCCAGGAGGAGCACACAUGACCACGGCACUGCCUUGUGAACUCCUGCGUCUCCGCUUCCCCUUGGGCCCUAGCCCAAAAGCGAUGUAGCUGCCCUCUCUCUUGCUCUGGCCCAGACACAGUGACCUUGUGGGAGUCCCAGCCUCACCUUCCCAAGCCACACACGUACACCAGGAAUGGACAGGUGCUGCACGGCAAGUGGCAAGUGCUCAGAGUGCCCGUGACAUCUGUCAACUACAGGGACUGGUGCUGCCGGAGCGCUGCUGUCUCAUCUUCCUGUCUUCCCCUUCAACUCCUGAGUCAUUUCUGUUGCUUGCACUAAAUUCCCUCAAGCCUCCAACUUUUUCCAUUAGAGCUGCAGAAAUCAGCACCAAACAGCGCUCCAGAUGCCUCUGCCUCUUUCUCUGCAGGCGGAACGGGGCCUGGGGGGGAGGGGCGGCCAAAGAUCCCAUCGGUCAACAGCACUGGUCUCCCGUUCUCAUCUGGAGGUGAAGCUUCCGGUUUUCCCAGUUCAUCAGCCGAAGGCAGCUCGCCCUGCCCCUGAUUUCCUGCUCAGGGGUCCGGAGGGGUCUGCGCGUGGUGUCAAAGGCACCGUGGUGGUACGGUCGCCUCGGAAGCGCACAGGAAGCACAUCGACCUUGCACACUCACGUCCGCAGAAGGCAGCAGCCCAGCCACGCUCACCUGAAUGCCAGACAAAAUGAAGUGAUGGAGGGCAGAGUACGGCGGAGAGUCACGAGACACAGAAAACACAACGCCCGGCUGAUUAAAAAGAUAAUUAGUUGUGGAAAAUAAGGUUGGGCUCAAGCCAAGCAUUUGUCUUUGACAAAGAUAAACCAGACAAUCCAGUGCAGUCCCGUUGGGGGAAUUUAGCUGCUCUUUUGAGUGGAAGGCCAGAACAAAGCAGUGGUCAGUUUGAGAGUGCGGCUACGCCCCCUCUGUUUGUUGUUCUGCUCAUAAACAUACAAGCUGUUUCCCUUCAGCCUUACAGCCUGUGCAAUAUGGAGAUCCACAACGCCGUUACACCGGAUUGGAGGAGAUGCACAGCGGCCAAGCCCCUGGCCGAAGAGGCUGUCUUCAUGGCCCUUGCUACAGCAUGGUAAAUGUAGCAGCGGCAGCACUGGGAGAGCUAAAAGGCCAGCAGCCGCUCCAGUGACAGCAGAGAGGACAUCUCUUGCCCACACUUUCAAAGCCUAUCAAGAUAUCUCAGCCACCUAAUAACACUGAACUUCAUCUCCACGUGAGGAGUGGGAAAAUGCUGUGGACAGCAGAUCAGUGCGGGAACUGGCGGCAGGGGAGGCAGGGGUGCGGGCCACGCAUGCCAGAUACUCUGCAUGGACCUGAAAAUGCAACUGCAAAGGUUCUGCGAAGCUGCCUGCCUGCAGCACUGUUUUGAUAAAUAAGCCAUAUCCUUGUGGAACUGCCAUCUCCAACUGUUCCACUGGCAUGGAUGUCUCUGCAGUGACAGUACACGCCCCAGAUUGUAGCAUUGACUUGAACUACGUUUCAGAUGUGGGGGAGCUAAGGGGAAGGGGCGGUGGCAGGGGAGGCUUAGGAACAGUAUGCUGGGGCUCUGAUACCGUCAUGACCAGAUGGCUUCAGCUGUACCACUGACAACAGAAACAAACAUGUCCGGAAAUAAUACCACGCGGGAACCCCGCAGCCUCACUUGCGCCUGGCCGACUCACAGCCAUGUACCCAUAGUAAAGCCCAUGCUGGAAAUCCCAUAAACCCUCUGUCAUCCCGGAAGCUGGGCACCAGGGUUGCCACCUCCCUGGAAGCGUCAGUCUCCACCUUGAAUGCUCUAUGCAGGAAGAGGAAAGCCAAUCUGGCCUGGCCUCCCAGAGCCUCUAGAGCGGAGCAGCAGAGGCGCCUGCCCAGAGUCCUGCUCCUGCUAUUCCCGGAGGAAGCAGCUUCACUUCCAAUUCUGUACCUAUACUUUCCAGAAAUGGAACUUCCUCCCUUCGUUAUGUAAUCCUCAGGAUACGAUGUGAGAUCUGCACCCAACAGCCGUGACCUCAGGCACGCUCCUUCCCUGGGCUCGCCUUGUACCAGCUAUGUAAUGGGUGCCACCAGGCUCGCCAGUGCCAGGAGGCUCAAGGACAGCCUGGAGAAGGUGGCUGGCUGGGACUAAGGACUGCACUGCGCAUGCACCUCUGCAGCAGGACCCUGUGCCUGCCCCGGCCUCCAGGUCUGGGGCUGACCUGGAAAGUGAGGACCUCGGAGGUACAGGACCACCGCUGGCCACACCAGAGUGGCAGUGGGAAGGGCAAUGGAGUGCUUUCUUGAAACUCCCACCUGGAACUGUCCUGUGAAUGGAUCGGGCCCGCUGUGGGCACAGUGAGACAUGACGUGGGGACGUACAAAGGCUCAGCCCGUUGAGGGGAAGUGGAAGGAAGGUGAACUAGAUGGCCAGGGCACUUCCAGCAUCCCACGAUGUCCUCCAGCGCCAGUGACAGCUGCAGGCAGGCUGGAGCACAGCCUGUCCAGGAAGGGCAGCACAGCAAACUAGUGACAGGCCAGACAGACAGGGAUUCCCUUUGCUUCCUGGAUCUUUCGGGGUAGAGUUAGGAACAGAGACUGGGACUGGGUCCUAAAAGCCUCGGUUGAGGUAGGGGCUUGGUACCUCCCAAACAUGUGACUGUCACACUCGUGGAGGACAAAAGACUGGCAGAUGCUGGUGGUUCACAAAGGAAACUUGAGAUGAUGGAAAAUAAAUCAAUCCCUCUGCUUAUUAGACAUUUCAGACAUAAUCCCUGCAAGAGGAAGGAUCAAACCAAGCCUUCAAAAUCCCUUAAGCAAGGAACUCAGACUCAAGAGACGAGCCAGAUAAAUGAAACAAAAGACCACAGAUACCACACAGUACAAAAUAGUAAUUAUUUAUAUUUUCAAAAAGAAAAAAUUAACAUUUGGAAGCUCUUCCCUGUAGGAAGAGAGGCUGAUCGGAAGGAACAGGGCUGGCUCCUAUGCAGGCGGCAAGUCAGGUACAGAAGGCUGAGCAAUCUGGGCUGUGGUUUGUUUUCAUACAGCAUUUAAUAAUAAAAUUUCCAUUCUUCUCUCUUUUUUGCCUUUGUUUUGUGUU